rnacentral:rRNA from 1 species
UACGUAGGUGGCAAGCGUUAUCCGGAUUUAUUGGGCGUAAAGAGAACGCUGGCGGUCUUUUAAGUCUGAUGUGAAAGCCUUCGGCUUAACCGGAGUAGUGCAUUGGAAACUGGGAGACUUGAGUGCAGAAGAGGAGAGUGGAACUCCAUGUGUAGCGGUGAAAUGCGUAGAUAUUAGGAGGAACACCAGUGGCGAAGGCGACUUUCUGGACGAUAACUGACGUUGAGGCACGAAAGUGUGGGGAGCAAACAGG